GUAACAGCAAGGUAAAAGCAUGGUAACAUGUCACUCGUGCCACGCCCCCCUCCUUUGCAGGGGGGUGUGGUCAGCUGCAGCUCAUUUGCAACAGAAUCAGCCCUUGCAAAAACAG